rnacentral:rRNA from 1 species
UACGGGGGGGGGCAAGCGUUGUUCGGAAUUACUGGGCGUAAAGGGCGCGUAGGCGGCCUGCUAAGUCACACGUGAAAUCCCUCGGCUCAACCGGGGAACUGCGUGUGAUACUGGCGGGCUUGAAUUCGGGAGAGGGAUGUGGAAUUCCACGUGUAGCGGUGAAAUGCGUAGAGAUGUGGAGGAACACCAAUGGCGAAGGCAGCCUUCUGGGCCAACACUGACGCUCAUGCACGAAAGCGUGGGAGCAAACAGG